UUGCUACUCUCUUUGUUCCGAAUUACUUGUCGUAGGUAUAGAUGUAUCUAGAUAUAUUUUAGUUGUAGAUACAUCCAUUUCUGUGACGAGUAAUUUGGAACGGAGGGGGUAGUAU
rnacentral:pre_miRNA from 1 species